rnacentral:rRNA from 1 species
GACGAACGCUGGCGGCGUGCCUAAUACAUGCAAGUUGAGCGCUGAAGGUUGGUACUUGUACCAACUGGAUGAGCAGCGAACGGGUGAGUAACGCGUGGGGAAUCUGCCUUUGAGCGGGGGACAACAUUUGGAAACGAAUGCUAAUACCGCAUAAAAACUUUAAACACAAGUUUUAAGUUUGAAAGAUGCAAUUGCAUCACUCAAAGAUGAUCCCGCGUUGUAUUAGCUAGUUGGUGAGGUAAAGGCUCACCAAGGCGAUGAUACAUAGCCGACCUGAGAGGGUGAUCGGCCACAUUGGGACUGAGACACGGCCCAAACGCCUACGGGAGGCAGCAGUAGGGAAUCUUCGGCAAUGGACGAAAGUCUGACCGAGCAACGCCGCGUGAGUGAAGAAGGUUUUCGGAUCGUAAAACUCUGUUGGUAGAGAAGAACGUGGGUGAGAGUGGAAAGCUCAUCAAGUGACGGUAACUACCCAGAAAGGGACGGCUAACUACGUG